rnacentral:rRNA from 1 species
UACGUAGGGGGCAAGCGUUGUCCGGAAUCAUUGGGCGUAAAGAGCGUGUAGGCGGUCCGGUCAGUCGGUUGUGAAAGUCAAGGGCUCAACCCCUUGAAUGCCGGCCGAUACUGCCGGGCUAGAGUCCGGAAGAGGCGAGUGGAACUCCUGGUGUAGCGGUGGAAUGCGCAGAUAUCAGGAAGAACACCAACGGCGAAGGCAGCUCGCUAGGACGGAACUGACGCUGAGGCGCGAAAGCGUGGGGAGCAAACAGG